AUUGAACGCUGGCGGCAUGCCUUACACAUGCAAGUCGAACGGCAGCGCGGGGCAACCUGGCGGCGAGUGGCGAACGGGUGAGUAAUAUAUCGGAACAUACCCUAGAGUGGGGGAUAACGUAGCGAAAGUUACGCUAAUACCGCAUACGCACUAAGGGUGAAAGUGGGGGACCGCAAGGCCUCAUGCUUUUGGAGCGGCCGAUGUCUGAUUAGCUAGUUGGUGAGGUAAAGGCUCACCAAGGCGACGAUCAGUAGCUGGUCUGAGAGGACGACCAGCCACACUGGGACUGAGACACGGCCCAGACUCCUACGGGAGGCAGCAGUGGGGGAAUUUUGGACAAUGGGGGGCAACCCUGAUCCAGCAAUGCCGCGUGAGUGAAGAAGGCCUCGGUGUAAGCUCUUUGUUAGGGUAAGAAACGGUGAGUCUAUAAAGACUUGCUAAUGACGGUACCUGAAGAAUAAGACA
rnacentral:rRNA from 1 species